CACACACACACACACACACACACACACACACACACACCAGAAAAAGACUAAAAGGAAAAAAAAGAUAUGCAUCCACCACCAUUACAUUCCUGUCCCUCCCCCACUCCCUCUCCCUAAGCCUCUGGCAAUCACAGAUCGUUCCUGUCUCCAUGGUCUUGCCUUUCCCAGAACAUCAUGUGGUUGGAAUCAUAGUGUGUGGCCUUUGCAGAUUGACUUCAGAUAACUUCCUAGUUUGUUGUUGUUGUUUGCUUGUUUUGACACAGGGGUCUCACUGAUCUGGAGCUCACUCUGGAGCCUAGGCUGCUUUGAACUCCACAAUCCUCCUGCCUCAGCCUCCCAAGUGCUGCGAUAUAAGCUUGACCCAACAUGCGCAGCUUACAGUUUUCUUCCCCCUCACUUCUUACCCCUUCUUUAUUUCUCUUCUGAUUUUUGCGAGUGUCACCUGGCAUCACAACUCCUUGGUGGCCUUGUUUUGGUGGCAAUUGUAGCAAUGUAUACUUCUCCUGUCUGUCUUAUCUGCUUAUCCCCCAAAUGUCCCAGCAUUUUCCUUUUCAUAACUGGUCACUCACAGAAGUCUAAGCUGCCAAGCACCACGUCUUCUGCCUCACUGAUUGUCACCACAGCCCCAGUAGUUAACUAACAUUUAAAAUGUUCAUCUCAACUCCAACUGUGCAAAAGAAUCAGGCAGGAAAUUUAAAAAGUAACAGCAAAAUCAAGAAAAUGAUCCACACCUGCAGACUCGGAUUCAAGGGUCUUGGGUGGGACCUAGACACUGGUUCUUUUUAGUUCCCUAGGUAAUCUAAUGUGGAGUCACUUGGAAAGCCGCUGUUAAAGGAGACUCAAUGUCCUGUUACAGGUUGUAGGACGUCUCCACCCUGUGACAGUGGAGGUUAUGUUGUUGUGUGCUGACGCAGUUGCCCUGCUGAGGCAUGGCCCUAGCUGUGAGAUCACUCCCUGAAGAGGACUUGAAGAUGGUCCUGUGAGCCCCAAUUCUUGGUGUGGGCAUCUGCCAGCUGGAGCUCCUGUUGCUGUGCCUUCCUUUGUGGAGCUGGACUGUCCUCUGAAGUUGAACCAAAUUAAACGUCUCCUCCUGGAAGGUACCUCUGUCCCACACUCUGUCACAGCCACAAGCAAAGUAACUAAAGUGACAGCAAAAGUCACUAAUAUACUCCUUGGGGGGAAAAAAAAACUAACGUUUUAAAAGGGUGCGCCUUCCUCCUGGUAGAGCUGUGGUAGGUCCAAGAGACUGCUCCUGAGGUGGCUGCUGUGGAGUCAGUGCCCACGUGGCUGGGGACAAAGAAACAGCAUCUUUGUCUACGUCGUUGCUUCUCCAGCGUGGAUUUGUAUAUCGAGGUCUCGGGUAGGGGUGGGGGUGGGGGGAGCCUUGUCAGGAUGCUCAUAAUUUCAAACAGGAGCCUCUGGAAAUAGUGGUGAGGGAGGAUUCUGCAAGCUUUGGGUUGGUCUUACCAUUUCUGCUGUGGGGACCAUGAGUAAGGGACUAAGGAGCUAAGCUGUUGUAUUCUUGUUUCUCCCUGUGAGUGUUCGGUCCCCUUUAAAGGUUUUUGCUGGAAUACUGAGGGUGGGGCCUUUGGAACACAUCGUUUGCCUUUGGGGAGUUUAGGAAAUGGAGCAGCACCCUCUUGAGGCCACAAGGUGGAGAUGCUGGGAAGGAAGCGAGCUGAAUCAAGCCAGCUUCCUGGUAGAGGAGUUUGGCCGAGGAAAGAAUUCAGAGUGAUUCCCUCAGGGUCAUGUUUUCCAGCCGUUUAUGGAUCUCCUUGAGCUCAACAGUUCUCACACCCAUGAGUUCUCUGAAGAGCCUGACGACAAGUGUGCUCUGAAUCCAUCCUGAUGACACAGAUUUCGGUCCACCCCAGUUCUGCAGAAGGCAUGUCUCCCGGGAGGAGUUUGGGAGUCUGCACUGCCACACUGUUCGCCAUUCUCCUCACAGGGAGGCUGGAGAAGCACAGCUGUGGCUGGCCCAGGACCCAGCCCAGACCCCGGUGGCCAUUAGGGACUUCUCCAGCCCUGUCUCCCAUCAUCGCCCAGCCUAACUUUCUCACUUAGAAGAUUGAGGCCAUCUGUUGUGAGCCUCCUGCAUUUCCUGCCCCCACCCUCAACAGUCUCCACAUUUCCCAGUCUGCCUCCCUCUCUCUCUUUUCUUAGAAAAUAAACAUCUUCCCAUGACUAGAUUUCUACCCUCCUUGACCAUCUCCUCUG